GACGAACGCUGGCGGCGUGCCUAAUACAUGCAAGUAGAACGCUGAAGGAGGAGCUUGCUUCUCUGGAUGAGUUGCGAACGGGUGAGUAACGCGUAGGUAACCUGCCUGGUAGCGGGGGGUAACUAUUGGAAACGAUAGCUAAUACCGCAUAAUAGCAGUUGUUGCAUGACAACUGUUUGAAAGGUGCAAUUGCACCACUACCAGAUGGACCUGCGUUGUAUUAGCUAGUUGGUGGGGUAACGGCUCACCAAGGCGACGAUACAUAGCCGACCUGAGAGGGUGAUCGGCCACACUGGGACUGAGACACGGCCCAGACUCCUACGGGAGGCAGCAGUAGGGAAUCUUCGGCAAUGGACGGAAGUCUGACCGAGCAACGCCGCGUGAGUGAAGAAGGUUUUCGGAUCGUAAAGCUCUGUUGUAAGAGAAGAACGAGUGUGAGAGUGGAAAGUUCACACUGUGACGGUAUCUAACCAGAAAGGGACGGCUAACUACGUG
rnacentral:rRNA from 1 species